rnacentral:rRNA from 1 species
UACGUAGGGUGCGAGCGUUAAUCGGAAUUACUGGGCGUAAAGCGUGCGCAGGCGGUUAUGUAAGACAGAAGUGAAAUGCCCGGGCUUAACCUGGGAACUGCAUUUGUGACUGCAUGGCUAGAGUUUGGCAGAGGGGGGUAGAAUUCCACGUGUAGCAGUGAAAUGCGUAGAUAUGUGGAGGAACACCGAUGGCGAAGGCAGCCCCCUGGGUCAAGACUGACGCUCAUGCACGAAAGCGUGGGGAGCAAACAGG